CAAGUCGAGCGCCCCGCAAGGGGAGCGGCAGACGGGAUAUUCCCCCGUGGGAACGGAAACAUCAGUUCGGAACAACCAAGGGAAACUUUGGCUAAUACCGAAUACGUCCGUAAGGAGAAAGAUUUAUCGCUGAAGGAUCGGCCCGCGUCUGAUUAGCUAGUUGGUGAGGUAACGGCUCACCAAGGCGACCAUCAGUAGCUGGUCUGAGAGGAUGAUCAGCCUCACUGGGACUGAGACACGGCCCAUACUCCUACGGGAGGCAGCAGUGGG
rnacentral:rRNA from 1 species